GUCCACGCCGUAAACUAUCAAUACUCGUUCUCAGCUCUUUAGGAGUUGGGGACCAAGCGAAAGUGAUAAGUAUUGCACCUGGGGGAGUACGAUCGCAAGGUUGAAACUCAAAGGAAUUGACGGGGGGCCCGCACAAGCGGUGGAGCAUGUGGUUUAAUUCGAUGAUACGCGAGGAACCUUACCAGGGCUUAAAUGCAGAACGCAUAUAGUGGAAACAUUAUAGUCUUCGGACGGUCUGCAAGGUGCUGCAUGGCUGUCGU
rnacentral:rRNA from 1 species